AAAAAAAAAAAAAACAAACAAACAAAUGGCGCCAUACCCAAAUUUUCGCCCCAAAAUUUCACUAAGUGGCGCCAUACCCAAAUUUUCUUCUUCUAUCUUUCUCUCAAAGUGGCGCAUUCUUCUCCUUGCUUCUCUCUCAACCGCAUAUUUGUUCGUUCUCUUUCUCGCCACCGGGCCCUCUUCUACAUCAAGCUGCUAUGCCGCUAUGCUGCUCUGAAGAUGGCGUGUUCGUCCUCUUUGGGUGGUCCUCCGGUACCCCGGCCUUCAGAGGAGCUUUUGGGGUUUAUGUCGUACUCCGGCGAGGUUUGCGUUUCUCCGUCUGUGCUUUUCUCUCCUAUGUUCUUAUAAUCGUUCACGGUGGUGAUAUUCCCUGCAUCUCCAGCGCUCUUGCCCUAUAAGCUCCGAUAUUUGUUGUUGUUUUUGUGCAAUCAGUUGAAUGUAUUUGUCUGAUUCCUUUGGUUUUUAUAUUUUUGCUGUAUAUUCGAGCGGAAUGCUUCAAUCCAUAAGCUGAAAAUUGUUGCAGUGUUUCUUCAUAGAUUACGGACUUAGGGCUUUUGCGCAAGUUUAUUUCAUGCUUACAUAAUAUGUGAGAUUUCCCUAGCCCCUGUGGAUGAAAUCGGAAUUUACUUUUGUGAGUUACACAAUUCCAUUAGUGCAGUCUUGAUGCUGGCUGUCAUAUGUAGUUUUGGUCACUGAAGCCAACUGAAAAGGAUCCAGGAAGUCUUGGCACGCUGCUUAGAUCAGCAUUGGCAUUUAGAUGGUCGAAUACUGUUCUUGAAGCAUUUGGAAGGGUCAAAACUGUUAGGAACAACUCUGUUUAGAUUUGUUGGUUUUCUUCUUAUGCUACUUGUACACACUUUAAUGUUGCUAAUGCUCAUGUAGUCGUUUUGGUAAAUUUGUUGAGAUACAAUCUGAUCCUCUGUAGGUAAUGAGCAACAUUGUGGAACCUGCACUUGGAUCUUCUUUUGUAGGUAAUGAGCAACAUUGUGCAAAAAACUAACAUCAACUAUUUUUUUUUGUUACAACUUUGACAGGCUAAACAAUCCCAACAUAUGUUUUUGGGUUAGCUUGUUUAUUGGGAUUUAUGUUUUGUAUUAGUAGAAUGUUAGCUACCAGCUCUUAGUUUAUAAUUUAGAAUGCUAAUCAACUCCAAUUUAGAGGAGGAUAUUAGUUAGCCACUCCAUAAUAUUAGUGAUUUUUUUUUUUGAGUGAUGAGGUCUAUUUGUAUUAAACUAAUUAUAUAUAUGAUGGAUUGAAUUUACUAUUAUAUAUUGGGUUA